CUUAAGCAUAUCAAUAAGCGGAGGAAAAGAAACCAACAGGGAUUGCCCUAGUAACGGCGAGUGAAGCGGCAACAGCUCAAAUUUGAAAUCUGGCUCUCGGGCCCGAGUUGUAAUUUGUAGAGGAUACUUUUGAUGCGGUGCCUUCCGAGUUCCCUGGAACGGGACGCCAUAGAGGGUGAGAGCCCCGUCUGGUUGGAUGCCAAAUCUCUGUAAAGUUCCUUCAACGAGUCGAGUAGUUUGGGAAUGCUGCUCUAAAUGGGAGGUAUAUGUCUUCUAAAGCUAAAUACCGGCCAGAGACCGAUAGCGCACAAGUAGAGUGAUCGAAAGAUGAAAAGCACUUUGAAAAGAGAGUUAAAAAGUACGUGAAAUUGUUGAAAGGGAAGCGUUUAUGACCAGACUUGGACUUGGUUAAUCAUCUGGGGUUCUCCCCAGUGCACUUUUCCAGUUCAGGCCAGCAUCAGUUUUCCCCGGGGGAUAAAGACUUCGGGAAUGUGGCACUCUUCGGGGUGUGUUAUAGCCCGUUGUGUAAUACCCUGGGGGGGACUGAGGUUCGCGCAUCUGCAAGGAUGCUGGCGUAAUGGUCAUCAACGACCCGUCUUGAAACACGGACCAAGGAGUCGUCUUCGUAUGCGAGUGUUCGGGUGUCAAACCCCUACGCGUAAUGAAAGUGAACGCAGGUGAGAGCUUCGGCGCAUCAUCGACCGAUCCUGAUGUUCUCGGAUGGAUUUGAGUAAGAGCAUACGGGGCCGGACCCGAAAGAAGGUGAACUAUGCCUGUAUAGGGUGAAGCCAGAGGAAACUCUGGUGGAGGCUCGCAGCGGUUCUGACGUGCAAAUCGAUCGUCAAAUAUGGGCAUGGGGCG
rnacentral:rRNA from 1 species